rnacentral:rRNA from 1 species
CCAUGCAGUCGAGCGGUAAGGCCCUUCGGGGUACACGAGCGGCGAACGGGUGAGUAACACGUGGGUAACCUGCCCUGUACUCUGGGAUAAGCCUUGGAAACGAGGUCUAAUACCGGAUACGACACCGGAUCGCAUGGUCUGGUGUGGAAAGUUCCGGCGGUAUGGGAUGGACCCGCGGCCUAUCAGCUUGUUGGUGGGGUAAUGGCCUACCAAGGCGACGACGGGUAGCCGGCCUGAGAGGGUGACCGGCCACACUGGGACUGAGACACGGCCCAGACUCCUACGGGAGGCAGCAGUGGGGAAUAUUGCACAAUGGGCGAAAGCCUGAUGCAGCGACGCCGCGUGAGGGAUGACGGCCUUCGGGUUGUAAACCUCUUUCAGCAGGGACGAAGCGCAAGUGACGGUACCUGCAGAAGAAGCACCGGCUAACUACGUGCCAGCAGCCGCGGUAAUACGUAGGGUGCGAGCGUUGUCCGGAAUUAUUGGGCGUAAAGAGCUCGUAGGCGGUUUGUCGCGUCGGCCGUGAAAACUUGGGGCUUAACUCCAAGCUUGCGGUCGAUACGGGCAGACUUGAGUUCGGCAGGGGAGACUGGAAUUCCUGGUGUAGCGGUGAAAUGCGCAGAUAUCAGGAGGAACACCGGUGGCGAAGGCGGGUCUCUGGGCCGACACUGACGCUGAGGAGCGAAAGCGUGGGGAGCGAACAGGAUUAGAUACCCUGGUAGUCCACGCCGUAAACGGUGGGUGCUAGGUGUGGGGGGCUUCCACGCCCUCUGUGCCGCAGCUAACGCAUUAAGCACCCCGCCUGGGGAGUACGGCCGCAAGGCUAAAACUCAA